rnacentral:rRNA from 1 species
CACGUAGGGGGCAAGCGUUGUCCGGAUUUAUUGGGCGUAAAGAGCUCGUAGGUGGUUCGGUAAGUCAGGUGUGAAACCUCCAGGCUCAACCUGGAGACGCCACUUGAUACUGCUGUGACUGGAGUCCGGUAGGGGAGCGUGGAAUUCCUGGUGUAGCGGUGAAAUGUGUAGAGAUCGGGAGGAACACCGGUGGCGAAGGCGGGUCUCUGGGCAAUUCCUGACGCUGAGGCGCGAAAGCGUGGGGAGCAAACGGG